rnacentral:rRNA from 1 species
UGGGGAAUAUUGCACAAUGGGCGAAAGCCUGAUGCAGCAACGCCGCGUGAGUGAUGAAGGCCUUCGGGUUGUAAAGCUCUGUCUUCUGGGACGAUAAUGACGGUACCAGAGGAGGAAGCCACGGCUAGCUACGUGCCAGCAGCCGCGGUAAUACGUAGGUGGCAAGCGUUGUCCGGAUUUACUGGGCGUAAAGGAUGCGUAGGCGGAUACUUAAGUCAGAUGUGAAAAUCCCGGGCUUAACUUGGGAACUGCAUUUGAAACUGGGUAUCUAGAGUGCGGGAGAGGAAAGUGGAAUUCCUAGGGUAGCGGUGAAAUGCGUAGAGAUUAGGAAGAACACCAGUGGCGAAGGCGAAUUUCUGGACCGUAACUGACGCUGAGGCAUGAAAGCGUGGGGAGCAAACA